UCGGAUACAUAUUUCGUGUGGCAAUUUGCCGCGAUAACAGGGUUUUCCAGUUUAAUUGUCUUUCUAUAUGUAAGCUUGAAAAUACUGAAAUAUGGCAACUCCAGAUGGCAGACGAGUGAACAGACCUUAUAGAAAAGCAUCAGAAUAUCUAGCAACCAAGCAAUCACCGUAUAAUGGGCCCAAGACAAUCGUAAUGCAGCAGAGUUACUCUGAACUCCAGUCCAUCAACUAUGA